rnacentral:lncRNA from 1 species
UCCCCAGGAAAACCUUUGUUGAGGAGCUUCAAAGAAGGAUUAACAGUGUUUGAUAAAGCUACUAGACAACAAUAUACGGAGGGACAAGUGCAUGUGUACAUUGCAUUUUUUUCAACCAAGCGGCCUCAACCAUUUCGAUCAUGCCUCAACCAUUUCGAUCAUUUGGCAAUUUAAUUCAAACAGCCAAAAUAUAGAACAGCAGAAAAAAAAAAGAAGGAAAGUUAUUCAAGUCUUGUGUGAUUGGAUCAAAUGAUAGAGAAUUGUGGC